rnacentral:rRNA from 1 species
GACGUAGGGCGCGAGCGUUGUCCGGAUUUAUUGGGCGUAAAGAGCGUGUAGGCGGCCCGAUUAGUCCGCUGUGAAAGUCCAGGGCUCAACCCUGGAAUGCCGGUGGAUACUGUCGGGCUAGAGUCCGGAAGGGGCGAGUGGAACUCCUGGUGUAGCGGUGGAAUGCGCAGAUAUCAGGAAGAACACCAACGGCGAAGGCAGCUCGCUGGGACGUUACUGACACUGAGGCGCGAAAGCGUGGGGAGCGAACAGG